rnacentral:rRNA from 1 species
GACGAACGCUGGCGGCGUGCUUAACACAUGCAAGUCGAACGGAAAGGCCCUGCGUUUGUGGGGUGCUCGAGUGGCGAACGGGUGAGUAACACGUGAGUAACCUGCCCUUGACUUUCGGAUAACUUCAGGAAACUGGGGCUAAUACCGGAUAGGAGCUCCUGCUGCAUGUUGGGGGUUGGAAAGUUUCGGCGGUUGGGGAUGUACUCGCGGCUUAUCAGCUUGUUGGUGUGGUAGUGGCUUACCAAGGCUUUGACGGGUAGCCGGCCUGAGAGGGUGACCGGCCGCAUUGGGACUGAGAUACGGCCCAGACUGCUACGGGAGGCAGCAGUGGGGAAUAUUGCACAAUGGGCGCAAGCCUGAUGCAGCAACGCCGCGUGCGGGAUGACGGCCUUCGGGUUGUAAACCGCUUUCGCCUGUGACGAAGCGUGAGUGACGGUAAUGGGUAAAGAAGCACCGGCUAACUACGUG